UAGCCUUCCUCCCUUCGAGGUUCUCCGGCACUGGCCGGAGCUAAGAGGGAACGUGGAAAUCUUCGGAUGCGCCACGGCUGCCCCCGCAACUGUGAACAGCCUGUUCUUUCACACGCCACUGCCGACUACGGCGGGAAGGCGAAAGGACGAUCAAGGGCUGUGAGCCAGGAGACCUGCCUCGUGACUGGUUUUCGA
rnacentral:ncRNA from 2 species